UGUUAGUGUUUCCCCCUUAUUAGCCUUUGGCAAAACACUCUAUUUCAGUAGCUCAUGUUGACUCAUUCCCCUUCAAUACUUCCUAAAUGUCAUAAAACAUGUUCCACAUGC